AAUAAAAUAUAAAAAUAUUUUUAAAACCACAAUGGGCUAAUUGUUUUUUUAAGUGCAGUCUCAAGGUAGUAUUGAUAUUGAUGUCUUACUUAAGAAUGCUUUUUGUCACAAGUAUCACAGGCAUGGUUUUGUCUCUUUUCAAGCACUGCAACCCAAGAUUACAUGAAACUCUAAUUGCCCUGCGUUCUGCAAACCGGGUACAUUCCACCCAAGGUAAGAAUACAAACGUAGCUGCCAGUUAUUCUAUGUUUGGCAAUUGUUCAGCAACCGAGAGAAUGCAAACUAGUCCAAAUAUCCCAAAUUCUGCAGGCAGCAUCCUAUAAAGCUAUGCGAAUUGAACGCCAAAGUUAUUCUAUGUUUGGCAACUUAAUACCAAACAUCAUUAUCAGACUUGAAAUUUAGUUAAAAUUUGGUGUUCAGUUCCAAUUCAAAAUCUUCAAAUUGAGAUGCCAAACAUAUAUAUCAACUAAAUUCAAUUCUACGGAAUCCCAAAUGUGCUUCCAAUUCCAUUCCCAAAGCUUGAAAUUUAGUUGCCAAACACUGAUACACAGCCUUACUGAAACAAUUGAGUAGCAACAGACAGUGAAUAUAGCAGCAUGGAUUUAGAAAAUCCCUAAUCCCAAAAAUUCUACACUAAUUAAAAUCCGUCACACCCAAGAUUUGACAACUUCUUGUUAACUAAAAACAAGUAAAAUUAAUUUAAAACAACAUCAGAUGAUAUUAAAUCAAUGAAUAUUUUCUGGGGUCUGCUCAAUUUCAUAAUAAUAAAAUUAUUUAAAUCAAUUGCUAGUAAAUAGCAUAGAGCUCAACUAACAUAUCUCUAAUCAAUAAGUCAAACAAAUUGGGAAUUGAAACGAGUAGUUCUUGAGAUUCUAAAAUCUAAGCAAACAGUUCAACAAGAUAUUGUAACAUAUCUAAAAUUCUGAAUAGUAAAUAAUUUCAUUAUUUAUUUUAAGAGAUACCAUGGAUGAGAGGUUUGAAUCUAACACGAAGCAUUUACAAAGAAAGAAGAAUAGUAACAGAUGGUACUUGUUCAGAGUCGGAUAAAAGAUGAAGGAGGCAACCCAGGAGUCAAAUACCCCAAAUAGUAAUGGGUUGAGCAAAAAAUACCCACCAUAAAACACAAAUUCAAUCAAAUGAGAAGUGCAGACCUGGAGAGAAGUCGACGGGCGAAGGCGGCGACGGAGAUAAGGGAAGAAUGGGAUUUUAGGGCUUGCAACAAACAAUUUUCUGGAGGGGAUUUAGGGCUUCGAUUUCAAGGGCUUCAAUGUUGCACUUACUUCCUUCAAGGAAAUCGAUUUUAGCAGCUUCGAUUUUGCAGCCCUAGAUUAUCUGGAGGGAAACAUUAGAUGAGAGCUCAGUCGUGAGGUGAGCGAAGAGAGANNN
rnacentral:lncRNA from 1 species